AUGAAUUUUACGGACUUCCUUUGUAAUCCUUGCUGCAGAAAGCAAUCUCAACGCCACUGUGGGCGAUACGAGCCACCACGCUACUGUUGUUCUUGGUAUAAGGAGCUAUAACUCCAUUGAAGAAGUGAGAGGCAUACGACAAUAUUUCUUCAGUCUGGAAUUUAGACAGGCAGGAUGUGGAUACUUCUGACUUUAUCAAGGAAUUUAGUAGUCCCCAUCAUCAUCAGUUUGUCUGCUAUUGCAGUUAGGGAAGCAUUCCACAGAAGAAGGCAG